rnacentral:rRNA from 1 species
UACGAGUGGUGCGAGCGUUGUUCGGAAUUACUGGGCAUAAAGAGCACGUAGGCGGUCUGGUAAGUCUGCUGUGAAAUCCCCCGGCUCAACCGGGGAACUGCAGUUGAUACUGCCGGGCUAGAGUGCGGGAGGGGAGAGCGGAAUUCCUGGUGGAGCGGUGAUAUGCGUAGAUAUCAGGAGGAACGCCGGAGGCGAAAGCGGCUCUCUGGUCCGCAACUGACGCUGAGGUGCGAAAGCUAGGGGAGCGAACAGG